rnacentral:rRNA from 1 species
AACGAACGCUGGCGGCGUGCCUAAGCCAUGCAAGUCGAACGGGUUGUCGCAAGACAAUCAGUGGCGAACUGGUGAGUAAUACGUGGGUAAUCUGCCCGAGAGUGGGGAAUAGCCCUUCCAACGAGGGGGUAACACCGCAUAUUAUCGCGAAUCCGCAUGGAUUUGCGAUGAAAACAGGGGAUCGCAAGACCUUGUGCUCUCGGAUGAACCCGCGCCCCAUUAGCUAGUUGGUGAGGUAACGGCUCACCAAGGCGACGAUGGGUAGCCGGCCUGAGAGGGUGACCGGCCACACUGGGACUGAGAUACGGCCCAGACUCCUACGGGAGGCAGCAGGCGGGAAUAUUGGGCAAUGGACGAAAGUCUGACCCAGCGACGCCGCGUGAGGGAUGAAGCUUCUCGGAGCGUAAACCUCAAACGGAUAGGGACGAAAAGCCUAUCGGCUAAUAUCCGGUAGGCCUGACGGUACCUGUUACGAAGCUCCGGCUAACUCCGUG